UCCGGUUUGUCACCGGCAGUCUCCCUAGAGUGCCCUUGCGUAGCAACUAGGGACAAGGGUUGCGCUCGUUGCGGGACUUAACCCAACAUCUCACGACACGAGCUGACGACAGCCAUGCAGCACCUGUGUUUCGAUUCCCUUUCGGGCACACCCACCUCUCAGCAGGCUCUCGAACAUGUCAAGGGUAGGUAAGGUUGUUCGCGUUGCAUCGAAUUAAUCCACAUCAUCACCCGCUUGUGCGGGUCCCCGUCAAUUCCUUUGAGUUUUAACCUUGCGGCCGUACUCCCCAGGCAGGGCACUUAAUGCGUUAGCUGCGGCACCGGAGGGGUCGAUACCCCCGACACCUAGUGCCCACCGUUUACGGCGUGGACUAC
rnacentral:misc_RNA from 1 species